GAAAGAUGAAAAGAACUUUGAAAAGAGAGUUAAACAGUACGUGAAAUUGUUGAAAGGGAAACGAUUGAAGCCAGUCGUACCUGCGGAUAAUCAACCUUUAGAUGCGAUUUUGUGGAGUGUGAGGAGCUAAUCGCCUUCAUGCCUGUAUAUUCGUGUACUUGGGGUGUACUUAUUCGUGAGGUAAGUUAACAUCAAUUUUGGUGGUCAUAAAAUGACUGGAGGAAUGUAGCUUCGAUCUCGUAUUGAAGUGUUAUA
rnacentral:rRNA from 1 species